UGAAUCCCAGGAAGAGAGAAAGGGAAGAAUUAAAAGGGAGCAUCAAGAUCAGAAGAGAAACAUCCUGGGAUGGGAACCAGAAGGGGGACUGAAAUGCUAGAAAAAGUGCCCGCAAAAGCUGCAUAUGCCUCUAUGUGGACUCAGAAAUUCACGAGCAAAACUGGAAGUCAAGGAGCGGCUCCCAAUAAAGAGAAGCAGAUAAAGAAUUACAAACAAAUGAAACAUGAAUAGAUUGCACUUGUUGGCUGGCAGACUUGUUUCUUCCAAGCAGCUAAUAAAAGCAAUAAAAAUAUCUUCUGG